CUAGGCUUGUGUUUGCAGAGCUGUAACUGGAAGUAGCAGGGGUCUGAAAUGAAGAAGGUGAAGAGAAGUGGGCUUGGUGUGCUGGCCUUUCCCUGUUAAGGACAAUUACAGGAAGCCAGUGCCUCUCUCAAAUGCAGCAUUGCUGUGGCCAACAUAUCCUUCUUCCAGACAACUGAAUAUGGAAAAGAAUACAAAAGCAGAGCCAGUCAGUCACCCCUGGGUGGUUCUCAGCGUCUGGAUGGAUGAAUGCAGAACUUAAGAGCAGCCAUCUUCGUCCUGUCACCUGUGUGCCUGAGUCAGAGAUAUUUUAAUCACCCGUUCCUGAUGCACUGAUUACAAAUCACAGUGAAAUUGUGAAAUCUGGGGCCCAACAGCAAGCUCCUUGGGUGUGAUGCAAGAAUAUUUGGGAGAGCUGUUUUGCUGUGUAAACCAAGCAGUCAAGUGGGAAGGGAGGGCUUGACUCAGGCUGGAGGCUGUGAAUGCUUUAGGACAUAGUGGGAUGCCACUGUGUAGCAUCUGUUGAGCUACAGCCACUGCAGCUGCUUUAAUGCCUACCCAAGCUCAGUGAAUAGGCUCCAUCAGAACCGAGCAUGUCUCUUUUAUGCCUGCCUCACCCACGUUUUGGCUGGCAAGGGUGUUUGGACUGAUCCAUCAGCACCUCACUGAGGGAUGCACCUCACCUCGGCAGACAGGUGGAGAUUGUGUCAGAUGGGACCAUUCCCUGCCAUAAGCCUCGUGGUACGCUUGAUGCAAGUAAACAGCAUUUGUUGGGAAGUGCAAACGAACUGUCUGGAUGAGGUGCUGGCUCAUACCCAUUGCCUAGCUGCAAGCUGCUGCUCUCCAUCCAGCCCCUCUUGGAGCAAGCAUAAUGCAAAGCAGAUUUAGCUUUCUGUCUCCAUGAAUGUCUGCCUAAGCACCCACUUAGCUGCCAGUCUGGAAAAUGCUGCUGUUGGAGAGGUUACAAUGCAGGGAGCGCAUCCUGAGCCAAAGCGGUGUGCAGGUGAAACAGGGCUGCUGCGCAGAGCUACUGACUGCUCUGGAAAUGAGUUAUUGGUUAGGAAAUGGACUCUGCUUGGAGCUGUGGAGCAAUUUUGUGUUGGUUUUGAAACAAGAUCUGAACAAGCAGAAGCGGCUUCUACCUGAGAAAUGAACAAACAGAGCCUUCAGAAACUCUUGGAAGAAACAAAGACAUUUGAACCAUUUGCACAACACAGAAGCUCUUCAGCAUGAGUCCUUAAAGGGCUGGAGGCUUGCUGGGGAAGCUUUGAGGAGGAGAGUCAUAAAGAACAAAAGGUUUUACGAUGCAAGGUUGAAUGGGAAACUUUUAUUGGAGAGGCUUGGCCAGCUUCUGUCCCAUGGGAGAAAGGCGGAGGAAUCCGAAUGUACUGUUUUCUCUUCUGGAAGGUCAAAGCUGUUGCACACAACGGCAAAGCAGCAUAGGAGAAAUACCCUUUCUCCUCUGUCAUCACUGUCAGAAAUGGAGGAGGGGAAGAAGUCCCACACAUUUCAGCAAAGCCCUGAAGGUAAAAAUGAUCUGUCGGCUUGAAAUUUAUCUUAAUGAGCAAAAUCCAGCCAAUGGAACAGGGUGCAGAUGAAAGUGACAGAUGGAAUCAUUUAA